UAGGUCACCCACGGAGUUCCAGCUCAGCAGGUCUUUUCUGGGAAGCACUGAGCCAGGCUGGCCUUCAAGGUCAGCUCUAUGAAUCUCAGUUCUGGGACCCACCACAGAGGAACGGAAAGCACUGGGAGCAUGCUCUUUUCACAGCAGAGGACGGAAGUUCCAGCAAUGUGCAGCCCCCAACUGCCUCCGUUUGGAGCCACCCACACAUGACCAAGCCUGACCAAGAAAGUCUGAUUUCCUUCCACCACACAAUGGAAUGUCUGCACAGCAUCACUUGCUCUCAGCCGUAUCCCUUCUCGACGACGUUCGUAGCAGCCAACUAGUCACUACGUCCUGUCAAGGUUUUACUUCUGUGUAGUGCCCACAUCCCUUCCGCCGCCAGACAGCGGCUGUGCCUGCGGGUGAGAGUGGAUCUAGACGCCCUGCCUCUUCCCACAACAGUUGCAGUCAGACUUUCUCCAGAGCAGCGCCUCUGUGCUCCUUCAGAGACAUGCGAGUGCUCCAGCAGUUUGUAACCUUCACCAGCAAAGGCAUGACCCGCUGAUUACAGCUUUUAUGAGUUCUCUGAGUCCCUGAGGAGAGAGAGGCUUGGUGGAGACAUCCCACUCAGGAAUGAGAACGAUUUAUGGGGGGCUUCAGGAGGCUGCAGCCCAUCGCAGCAGGGAGGACAGACACGGUGGAGUGGUCCAGUCUGGCAGUGGGCUGUACAAAGGACUGUUCACACGACAGUGGACCAGGAGGCAGAGAGGUCCUCUGGAUCCAGUAGCUGGGCUGUAACUUUCCAAGAUGCUCCCCGUCGUCC